UCCGACAGUGAGAGGAACGGCCGGAUACAGGAGACGGGAAGAAACAAGCCGAUUAUGUUCGCGUUAAUUAAGUGGUUGGAAGAUGUAAAAUUCUCAAUUCUGCCAACUGAACAUAUACGAGAUUUUAAUGAGGAUGAAUAAUUAGCCGGCAUGGAGGAAACGGACCUUUAUUUGGUGGAGUGGCGACAAGAAGCCAAAAGGUGGGUGGCCGGUCUAUGAAGCCUCCAUCAUCAAGCUAGCAGAAAUCCCACCUCUCCUUCUGGCUACAGAGUACUUACUUACCAAGCCCAUGAAAUCGAAUGCAGAUCUUCCUGAUGUGAGAUUUACAUAAAUAUGUCAAAGUCUCAACCUCAUGCUGCCCUCCCCCAUCUUCCUAAA